rnacentral:lncRNA from 1 species
GAAGAAAUGUUGAUGUCAAGACUCGUGCCCACUGCAGCCUUGUUCAGCAGUGUAAUACACGCUCUGGAUAAAAUAUUCCAGGUCUCUGACUGCUCAUUUGAAAAUACUUUGAGAGGGUCAAAGGGGAGAACUGGAAGGCCUGGUAGGACCCCAUUUAAAUACUUCAAGAAAAAUCGAUGGUGGCUUGGGUUUAAUGUGAAUGGAAGAAAUACUAAAAGGAGGUGAGACUUGGCUCACCUGAAGAAAACUGAGGAAUAAACUGCAAGUAUAUGAGGGAAGAGCAUUCCAGGCAAAGGGAAGAUCAAAGGCAGAAACCCUGAGGUGACAGGCUAUGAGGAACACUGAAAAGCCAAUGGCAGUUUCUAAAUACCACUUCAGAGAGUCUUUUAUGUUCACAACAGUGACAGAACUGCAGAGAUUUCAAGCUAAGCAUGAAAGCCUGGAUCUAAUAUCUUCUCCCUGAUUUCCUCCCAUCUAAUAGAUCUGCUUGCUUAUCUUGCUGCUAUGAUACCAGGAACAAUACAGAUGCUUAUUGAGGGAAAACUAGGACUGGCAGAAAAGCAGACAAAAACAAUUCCUUAUCAGAACUCUGGUUUGAUAUCUCAUCAAAUUUCACAUACAUUAUGCAACCAGACAACCUAUGAUGGUGAAGAGUGCAGUUGAGAGAAGUGAGAGAUAGAGAAAACUGCCUCCUGAACUUGGUUGGCCAGCUAUGUGAUGCGCCCCAGCAGGAAAAAAUAUCAAUUGGUAAUCACAAACACUUACUUUUUACUCACAGAGACGCAGGAAUGGAUUUGAUCGUGUCGUGGAGUGCUUUGAGGUCUUUGGAAUAAAGGCAUCCUAC